GAGUUUGAUCCUGGCUCAGAUUGAACGCUGGCGGCAUGCCUUACACAUGCAAGUCGAACGGCAGCAUGAUCUAGCUUGCUAGAUUGAUGGCGAGUGGCGAACGGGUGAGUAAUACAUCGGAACGUGCCCUGUAGUGGGGGAUAACUAGUCGAAAGAUUAGCUAAUACCGCAUACGACCUGAGGGUGAAAGUGGGGGACCGCAAGGCCUCAUGCUAUAGGAGCGGCCGAUGUCUGAUUAGCUAGUUGGUGGGUAAAGGCCCACCAAGGCGACGAUCAGUAGCUGGUCUGAGAGGACGAUCAGCCACACUGGGACUGAGACACGGCCCAGACUCCUACGGGAGGCAGCAGUGGGGAAUUUGGACAAUGGGCGAAAGCCUGAUCCAGCAAUGCCGCGUGUGUGAAGAAGGCCUCGGUGU
rnacentral:rRNA from 1 species